ACCUGGUUGAUCCUGCCAGUAGUCAUAUGCUUGUCUCAAAGAUUAAGCCAUGCAUGUCUAAGUACAUGCCGAAACAAGGCGAAACCGCGAAUGGCUCAUUGAAUCAGUUAUGUUUCCUUAGAUCGUUUCUUCCUACUUGGAUAACUGUGGCAAUUCUAGAGCUAAUACAUGCAGUGAGCCCGAUGCCCCUCGGGGCGACGGGUGCUUUUAUUAGACCAAGAUCAAUCGGGCUUCGGUCCGUUUUGUGUGGUGACUCUGGAUAACUUUGUGCUGAUCGCACGGCCACGAGCCGGCGACGUUUCUUUCAAGUGUCUGCCUUAUCAACUGUCGAUGGUAGGUUAUGCGCCUACCAUGGUUGUUACGGGUAACGGAGAAUCAGGGUUCGAUUCCGGAGAGGGAGCCUGAGAAACGGCUACCACAUCCAAGGAAGGCAGCAGGCGCGCAAAUUACCCACUCCCGGCACGGGGAGGUAGUGACGAAAAAUAACAAUACGGGACUAUUUUGAGCCCCGUAAUUGAAAUGAUUGACCGAAGGGCACCACCAGGAGUGGAGCCUGCGGCUUAAUUUGACUCAACACGGGAAAACUUACCCGGCCCGGACACUGGGAGGAUUGACAGAUUGAGACCUCUUUCUUGAUUCGGUGGAUGGAGGUGCGUGGCCCUUCUUAGUUGGUGGAGCGAUUUGUCUGGUUAAUUCCGAUAACGAACGGGACUCUAGCCUAUUAAAUAGGUGCGUGGUUCUCUGGACCUUGCGCGCUUCUUAGAGGGACAAGCGGCUCCUAGCCGCACGAAACACAGCAAUAACAGGUCUGUGAUGCCCUUAGAUGUCCGGGGCCGCACACGCGCUACACUGAAGGAAGCGGCGUGUUUUUAUCCCUGUCUGUAAAGACUGGGUAACCCGUGGAACCUCCUUCGUGAUUGGGAUAGGGGCUUGCAAUUGUUCCCCUUGAACGAGGAAUUCCCAGUAAGCGCGAGUCAUAAGCUCGCGUUGAUUACGUCCCUGCCCUUUGUACACGCCGCCCGUCGCUACUACCGAUUGAAUGAUUUAGUGAGGUCUUCGGACCGAUACCCUGAGCGGCCUUUCGGUUGCGCCGGUGUGUUGGAAAGAUGACCAAACUUGAUCAUUUAGAGGAAGUAAAAGUCGUAACAAGGUUUCCGUAGUGCACGUGUGGUGC
rnacentral:rRNA from 1 species